rnacentral:rRNA from 1 species
UAGUGGCGAACGGGUGAGUAACACGUGGGCAAUCUGCCCUGCACUCUGGGACAAGCCCUGGAAACGGGGUCUAAUACCGGAUAACACUCCUCCACUCCUGUGGGGGAGUUAAAAGCUCCGGCGGUGCAGGAUGAGCCCGCGGCCUAUCAGCUUGUUGGUGAGGUAAUGGCUCACCAAGGCGACGACGGGUAGCCGGCCUGAGAGGGCGACCGGCCACACUGGGACUGAGACACGGCCCAGACUCCUACGGGAGGCAGCAGUGGGGAAUAUUGCACAAUGGGCGAAAGCCUGAUGCAGCGACGCCGCGUGAGGGAUGACGGCCUUCGGGUUGUAAACCUCUUUCAGCAGGGAAGAAGCGAAAGUGACGGUACCUGCAGAAGAAGCGCCGGCUAACUACGUGCCAGCAGCCGCGGUAAUACGUAGGGCGCAAGCGUUGUCCGGAAUUAUUGGGCGUAAAGAGCUCGUAGGCGGCUUGUCACGUCGGGUGUGAAAGCCCGGGGCUUAACCCCGGGUCUGCAUUCGAUACGGGCUAGCUAGAGUGUGGUAGGGGAGAUCGGAAUUCCU